GACGAACGCUGGCGGCGUGCUUAACACAUGCAAGUCGAACGGAAAGGCCCUGCUUUUGUGGGGUGCUCGAGUGGCGAACGGGUGAGUAACACGUGAGUAACCUGCCCUUGACUUUGGGAUAACUUCAGGAAACUGGGGCUAAUACCGGAUAGGAGCUCCUGCUGCAUGGUGGGGGUUGGAAAGUUUCGGCGGUUGGGGAUGGACUCGCGGCUUAUCAGCUUGUUGGUGGGGUAGUGGCUUACCAAGGCUUUGACGGGUAGCCGGCCUGAGAGGGUGACCGGCCACCAUGGGACUGCGAGACGGCGCAGACUGCUACGUGAGGCAGCAGUCGGGAAUAUUGCACAAUGGGCGGAAGCCUGAUGCAGCAACGCCGCGUGCGGGAUGACGGGCUUCGGGUUGUAAACCGCUUUCGCCUGUGAUGAAGCGUGAGUGACGGUAAUGGGUAAAGAAGCACCGGCUAACUACGUG
rnacentral:rRNA from 1 species